rnacentral:rRNA from 1 species
ACCGGCGGCUCGAGUGGUGGCCACUAUUAAUGGGCUUAAAGCGUUCGUAGCUGGCUUGUUAAGUCUCUGGGGAAAUCUUCCGGCUCAACCGGAAGGCGUCUCAGGGAUACUGGCAGGCUAGGGACCGGAAGAGGUGAGAGGUACUCCAGGGGGAGGAGUGAAAAGCAGUAAUCAGUGAGGGAGAACCGAGGGCGGAGGAGUCAAACCAGGUCGGAUCCGACAGUGAUGGACGAGAGCUACGAAAGCAAACAG